rnacentral:rRNA from 1 species
GAUGAACGCUGGCGGCGUGCCUAAUACAUGCCAGUCGAGCGAACAGACGAGGAGCUUGCUCCUCUGACGUUAGCGGCGGACGGGUGAGUAACACGUGGAUAACCUACCUAUAAGACUGGGAUAACUUCGGGAAACCGGAGCUAAUACCGGAUAAUAUAUUGAACCGCAUGGUUCAAUAGUGAAAGACGGUUUUGCUGUCACUUAUAGAUGGAUCCGCGCCGCAUUAGCUAGUUGGUAAGGUAACGGCUUACCAAGGCAACGAUGCGUAGCCGACCUGAGAGGGUGGCCGGCAACACUGGAACGGAGCAACGGUACAGACUCUUAGGGGAGGAAGAGGGAGGGAAUCUUCCGCAAUGGGCGAAAGCUUGACGGAGCAACGCGGCGUGAUUAAUGAAGUUCUUCGAAUCGAAAAACUUUUUUAUGGGGGAAAAAAAAAUGUGAAAGAAACAAGCCACGCCUUGAGGUUACCUAACAAGAAGGCCACGGCAAACUCCGUC